AACUUUUGACGGUGGAUCUCUUGGCUCACGCAUCGAUGAAGAACGCAGCCAGCUGCGAUAAGUAGUGUGAAUUGCAGAAUUCAGUGAAUCAUCGAAUCUUUGAACGCAAAUGGCGCUCUUGGGUUCUCCCAGGAGCAUGUCUGUCUGAGUGUCGGAUCGUCAUCCAUC
rnacentral:rRNA from 1 species